rnacentral:rRNA from 1 species
UACGUAGGGUGCGAGCGUUAAUCGGAAUUACUGGGCGUAAAGCGCGCGUAGGCGGCCUCAUAAGUCCGCUGUAAAAAGUCAAAGGCUCAACCCUUUUGAAUGCCGGUGGAUACUGUGAGGCUAGAGUCCGGAAGAGGCGAGUGGAACUCCUGGUGUAGCGGUGGAAUGCGCAGAUAUCAGGAAGAACACCCGUGGCGAAAGCGGCUCUCUGGAACGGUACUGACGCUGAGACGCGAAAGCGUGGGGAGCGAACAGG